CUCCUCUCAGGGUCGCUCCUGGAGAGUAUCCAGGAGUCUACCAGUCUCGGCUUCGGGAGGGAGAGUCAAGCGGAGGCCUACCCAUUCCAUUCCUAGUCUGGCCAGUGGCUAGCGAGUGGAAGGCCAUCUGCUCCAAGG